GUAUAGAUUUUAUAUAUGCACAACAUUCUAUUAACAUACAUUGGGGUAAAUGAAAAAGCAACAUAGACCUGGAAGGCCUACAAAAGGUGCACAGGUGGAGAUAUAAAGAUGACAAGGCGUGCACAUGCUUCCCUAGAGAACCAGCAACAACCCAUCAGGUUUAUUUCAAUAAUGAUCCUUCCGCAGGUUCACCUACGGAAA
rnacentral:misc_RNA from 1 species